rnacentral:lncRNA from 10 species
ACUGCAGCCUUGACCUCCCACCUCAGCCUCCCGAGUAGCUGGGACUACAGGCAUGUUUUCAUUUUGGUAGAGACAGUCUCGCCAUUUUGCCCAGGCUGGUCUCAAACUCCUGGGCUCAAGCGAUCCUCCCAUCUCGACCUCCCAAAGUGCUGGGAUUAUAGGCGUGAGCCACCACGCCCGACCCAGCCUUACCUUUAUGACCCCUUAAUGGUUUCUCUUAUAAACUACCCACAUGUCCUCUAGGAAGAUGACACCAAUAUGUGUAGCUACCAGCAAUGUACCUCCCUGCCUGAUUUGUUGUGGCCUCAGACUAACUUCCUUCCAGGCAUGGGCCUAUUUGCUGCUGGAUUCGACUGCAAAGCCCCAUUCCUCUUCCUCACCCUCACCCCCAAUUUGGUUUUCUGGCUCCACUCACUUACUGCUAAAUCAGCAUGACCAUCUUUUAUUGUAUUUAUUGUAACAGCCGUUUCUCAUGUUUAAACGGCUCCACCCAAUCCUAGAGGAACACCAGACCCACAUGAGACCUCUAUCAGCAGAACUGCUGGUGAAAAUGUGAGGAAUGUCUCUGUCCUUCCCUGACUCAUCAGACCUCAGGAUGACCUUCCUUCCUGACACAGCCCUCCUGCGCAAGUAACUCACCAUCUUCCUGUGCCCAGCUACCACCAGACACCUGCAGGUGAGCUCACUGCAAGCUUGGCGUCGUGGUGCUGCGCACAGCCCUCUUCAGCACACAGUGUCAGCACCGUCCUAUAAAAUCUCCAGCCAGCCUUUGUUUCUUUGCAGUCGGCAUCUCUCAUGCAGGCUGCCCUGUCUCCUUGCAACCUAUUUUUCUACUUUCUCCAAUAAAUCAGCCUUUUUCUGCCUACAACUGUCUUGGUAAAUUAUUUUACCCCCACGCCACUGGCCCAGAGAGCCAUCGCUCCCCUUUGACAUUUGGGCCUCCAAACUGGGAUUUUGAGGGGGCAGGGACAAUAGCUUCUAGUUAAGAGCUUAUUCUGUGGGUCCCUGAGGAAGGGAAAUGAGGCUAAC